rnacentral:lncRNA from 1 species
UUAGAGCGACUAAAAGAACUCUCUCAUUAGAAAAACAAACUAACCUGCUUGUCCUAAAAAGUUAUUGACUAUUUUUUCUAUUUCUAUCAUCCGGACACAUUGCAGAAUGUGAAGUGUCAAUCCUGGUUGAAAGAAGUUCCAAUCUAGUCCUCAAACGCCACACUAAAACACCCGGCUAAAAAAACAAGCGUACAUCAUCACUGCACAAUACAAAAAUGUGAAAU